rnacentral:rRNA from 1 species
AAGGAAUAUUGGACAAUGGUCGCAAGACUGAUCCAGACAUGCCGCGUGCAGGAAGACGGCCCUAUGGGUUGUAAACUGCUUUUGUACCAGAGAAAACCUAUCUACGUAUAGAUAGCUGAUAGUAUGGUAAGAAUAAGCAUCGGCUAACUUCGUGCCAGCAGCCGCGGUAAGACGAAAGAUGCAAGCGUUAUCCGGAUUCAUUGGGUUUAAAGGGUGCGUAGGCGGGCUUGUAAGUCAGUGGUGAAAUCUCUCAGCUUAACUGAGAAACUGCCAUUGAUACUGCAGGCCUAGAGUAUAGAUGACGUUGGCGGAAUAUGACAUGUAGUGGUGAAAUACUUAGAUAUGUCAUAGAACACCGAUUGCGAAGGCAGCUAACGAAACUAUAACUGACGCUGAGGCACGAAAGUGCGGGGAUCAAACAG